GGGUUGUGAGGUUAAGCGAAUAAGCGUACACGGUGGAUGCCUAGGCAAUCAGAGGCGAUGAAGGACGUGCUAAUCUGCGAAAAGCGUCGGUAAGGUGAUAUGAACCGUUAUACCCGACGAUAUCCGAAUGGGGAAACCCAGUAUCCAAUGGAUACUAUCAUUAACUGAAUCCAUAGGUUAAUGAGGCGAACCGGGAGAACUGAAACAUCUCAGUACCCCGAGGAAAAGAAAUCAACCGAGAUUCCCCUAGUAGCGGCGAGCGAACGGGGAGCAGCCCAGAGUCUUAAUCAAUAGCAGUGUCAGGAGAACGGUCUGGAAAGUCCGGCAGUAAAGGGUGAUAGCCCCGUAUCUGAAGAUGCUGUUAUUGUGAACUCGACGAGUAGGGCGGGACACGUGUUAUCCUGUCUGAAUAUGGGGGGACCAUCCUCCAAGGCUAAAUACUCCUGAUUGACCGAUAGUGAACCAGUACCGUGAGGGAAAGGCGAAAAGAACCCCGGCGAGGGGAGUGAAAAAGAACCUGAAACCGUGUACGUACAAGCAGUAGGAGCCUCUUUAUGGGGUGACUGCGUACCUUUUGUAUAAUGGGUCAGCGACUUAUAUUCUGUAGCGAGGUUAACCGCAUAGGGGAGCCGUAGGGAAACCGAGUCUUAACUGGGCGAAUGAGUUGCAGGGUAUAGACCCGAAACCCGGUGAUCUAUCCAUGGGCAGGUUGAAGGUUGGGUAACACUAACUGGAGGACCGAACCGACUAAUGUUGAAAAAUUAGCGGAUGACUUGUGGAUGGGGGUGAAAGGCCAAUCAAACCGGGAGAUAGCUGGUUCUCCCCGAAAGCUAUUUAGGUAGCGCCUCGUGAACUCAUCUUCGGGGGUAGAGCACUGUUUCGACUAGGGGGUCAUCCCGACUUACCAACUCGAUGCAAACUGCGAAUACCGAAGAAUGUUAUCACGGGAGACACACGGCGGGUGCUAACGUCCGUCGUGAAGAGGGAAACAACCCAGACCGCCAGCUAAGGUCCCAAAGUCAUGGUUAAGUGGGAAACGAAGUGGGAAGGCUCAGACAGCCAGGAUGUUGGCUUAGAAGCAGCCAUCAUUUAAAGAAAGCGUAAUAGCUCACUGGUCGAGUCGGCCCGCGCGGAAGAUGUAACGGGGCUAAACCAUGCACCGAAGCUGCGGCAGCGACACAAAGUGUUGUUGGGUAGGGGAGCGUUCUGUAAGCCUGCGAAGGUGUACUGUGAGGUAUGCUGGAGGUAUCAGAAGUGCGAAUGCUGACAUAAGUAACGAUAAUGCGGGUGAAAAACCCGCACGCCGGAAGACCAAGGGUUCCUGUCCAACGUUAAUCGGGGCAGGGUGAGUCGACCCCUAAGGCGAGGCUGAAAAGCGUAGUCGAUGGGAAACGGGUUAAUAUUCCCGUACUGGUGGUAACUGCGAUGGGGGAACGGAGAAGGCUAGGUUGUCCGGGCGACGGUCGUCCCGGUUCAAGCAGGUAGGCAGAGUGAUUAGGCAAAUCCGGUCACUUAAUGCUGAGAUGUGAUGACGAACCACCAAGGUGGUGAAGCAAUUGAUGCCCCGCUUCCAGGAAAAGCCUCUAAGCUUCAGGUUACCAACAAUCGUACCCCAAACCGACACAGGUGGUCAGGUAGAGAAUACUCAGGCGCUUGAGAGAACUCGGGUGAAGGAACUAGGCAAAAUGGUGCCGUAACUUCGGGAGAAGGCACGCUGGCGGUAGGUAAAGUCCCUCGCGGACAGAGCUGAAGCCAGUCGAAGAUACCAGCUGGCUGCAACUGUUUAUUAAAAACACAGCACUGUGCAAACACGAAAGUGGACGUAUACGGUGUGACGCCUGCCCGGUGCUGGAAGGUUAAUUGAUGGGGUCAGCCGCAAGGCGAAGCUCCUGAUCGAAGCCCCAGUAAACGGCGGCCGUAACUAUAACGGUCCUAAGGUAGCGAAAUUCCUUGUCGGGUAAGUUCCGACCUGCACGAAUGGCGUAAUGAUGGCCAGGCUGUCUCCACCCGAGACUCAGUGAAAUUGAACUCGCUGUGAAGAUGCAGUGUACCCGCGGCAAGACGGAAAGACCCCGUGAACCUUUACUAUAGCUUGACACUGAACAUUGAGCCUUGAUGUGUAGGAUAGGUGGGAGGCUUUGAAGUGUGGACGCCAGUCUGCAUGGAGCCAACCUUGAAAUACCACCCUUUAACGUUUGAUGUUCUAACCUAGGCCCAUAAACUGGGUCGGGGACCGUGUCUGGUGGGUAGUUUGACUGGGGCGGUCUCCUCCUAAAGAGUAACGGAGGAGCACGAAGGUUGGCUAAGCAUGGUCGGACAUCAUGCGGUUAGUGCAAAGGCAUAAGCCAGCUUGACUGCGAGAGUGACGGCUCGAGCAGGUACGAAAGUAGGUCUUAGUGAUCCGGUGGUUCUGAAUGGAAGGGCCAUCGCUCAACGGAUAAAAGGUACUCCGGGGAUAACAGGCUGAUACCGCCCAAGAGUUCAUAUCGACGGCGGUGUUUGGCACCUCGAUGUCGGCUCAUCACAUCCUGGGGCUGAAGUAGGUCCCAAGGGUAUGGCUGUUCGCCAUUUAAAGUGGUACGCGAGCUGGGUUUAGAACGUCGUGAGACAGUUCGGUCCCUAUCUGCCGUGGGCGUUGGAAGAUUGAGAGGGGUUGCUCCUAGUACGAGAGGACCGGAGUGAACGCACCACUGGUGUUCGGGUUGUCAUGCCAAUGGCAUUGCCCGGUAGCUAAGUGCGGAAGAGAUAACCGCUGAAAGCAUCUAAGCGGGAAACUUGCCUCGAGAUGAGUCUUCCCUGUCACUUUAAGUGACCUAAAGGAACGUUUAAGACUAAGACGUUGAUAGGCUGGGUGUGUAAGCGUAGCGAUACGUUGAGCUAACCAGUACUAAUGAACCGUGAGGCUUAACCUGACAACACCGAAAGUGUUUUG
rnacentral:rRNA from 1 species